GUGCCGAAUUGACUAUAUCAAGUGCCGAUUUAACCAGGUGCCAAUUUGACAAGAUGCCGAUUUGACUAUACCGGGUGCCGAAUUGAUCAGGUGCCGAUUUAACCAAGUGCCGAUUUGACUAGAAUUCUGUAAGACAGUGAUCGCGCCGAUCAGGGCGAACGAUCCCACCCCGCCAAUAAAACCGUUGUAUUAAAGCCAGCAUCGAUAUCGACAAUUUAUGCACAUUUCAAUGCACAUGUCAUACAGAUACAGUCUGUUACAGACUCUACUGUUGUAACUUUGUAAACAAAGAUUGAGUCGGAUGUCCGGUUCUUCGAUCUGUCUUAUAACCAAUAGAAAGUGUACCAAUACGGACACAUUAUAUUUUCU
rnacentral:lncRNA from 1 species